AGGGUUCGAUCUGGCUCAGAACGAACGCUGGCGGCGCGUUUAAGCAUGCAAGUCGAGCGGCAAGGGCCUUCGGGCCCCUAGAGCGGCGGACGGGUGAGUAACACGUGGACAAUCUGCCCCCCGGCCGGGAUAGCCCGGGGAAACCUGGAUUAAUACCGGAUGAGACGGGACCUGCGAUGGCGGGAUCCGGGAAAGGCGCUACGGCGCCGCCGGGGGAUGAGUCUGCGUCCCAUUAGCUAGACGGCGGGGUAACGGCCCACCGUGGCGACGAUGGGUAGCCGGCCUGAGAGGGUGGACGGCCACAUUGGAACUGAGACACGGUCCAGACUCCUACGGGAGGCAGCAGCUAAGAAUCUUCCGCAAUGGGCGAAAGCCUGACGGAGCGACGCCCGCGUGAACGAAGAAGGCCGUGAGGUUGUAAAGUUCUUUUCGGGAGGGGGGAACAACCGUGGCAGGGAAUGGCCGCGGGAUGACGUGAAUCCCGGAAUAAGCCCCGGCUAACUACGUGCCAGCAGCUGC
rnacentral:rRNA from 1 species